rnacentral:rRNA from 1 species
UUUUAUGGAGAGUUUGAUCCUGGCUCAGGAUGAACGCUGGCGGCGUGCCUAAUACAUGCAAGUCGAGCGAACGGACGAGAAGCUUGCUUCUCUGAUGUUAGCGGCGGACGGGUGAGUAACACGUGGAUAACCUACCUAUAAGACUGGGAUAACUUCGGGAAACCGGAGCUAAUACCGGAUAAUAUUUUGAACCGCAUGGUUCAAAAGUAAAAGACGGUCUUGCUGUCACUUAUAGAUGGAUCCGCGCUGCAUUAGCUAGUUGGUAAGGUAACGGCUUACCAAGGCAACGAUGCAUAGCCGA